UACGUAGGGGGCGAGCGUUGUCCGGAAUCAUUGGGCGUAAAGCGCGUGUAGGCGGCCCGGUAAGUCCGCUGUGAAAGUCCAGGGCUCAACCCUGGGAUGCCGGUGGAUACUGUCGGGCUCGAGUCCGGAAGAGGCGAGUGGAAUUCCUGGUGUAGCGGUGAAAUGCGCAGAUAUCAGGAGGAACACCAAUGGCGAAGGCAGUUCGCUGGGACGUGACUGACGCUGAGACGCGAAAGCGUGGGGAGCAACAGG
rnacentral:rRNA from 1 species